UACGGGGGGGGCAAGCGUUGUUCGGAAUUACUGGGCGUAAAGGGCGCGUAGGCGGUUUGCUAAGUUGACUGUGAAAACUCUGGGCUUAACCCAGAGCCUGCAUUCAAUACUGGCAGGCUAGAGUUCUGGAGGGGAUAGCGGAAUUCCUGGUGUAGCGGUGAAAUGCGUAGAUAUCAGGAGGAACACCGGUGGCGAAGGCGGCUAUCUGGACAGAGUCUGGACGCUGAGGCGCGAAAGCCUAGGGGAGCAAACAGG
rnacentral:rRNA from 1 species